rnacentral:rRNA from 1 species
CCUACGGGAGGCAGCAGUGAGGAAUAUUGGUCAAUGGGCGGAAGCCUGAACCAGCCAAGUCGCGUGAGGGACUAAGGCCCUACGGGUCGUAAACCUCUUUUGCCGGGGAUCAGUGCCCAGCUCGCGAGCUGGGAGGGAGCGUACCCGGAGAAAAAGCAUCGGCUAACUCCGUGCCAGCAGCCGCGGUAAUACGGAGGAUGCGAGCGUUAUCCGGAUUUAUUGGGGUUAAAGGGUGCGUAGGCGGGCCUUCAGGCCGGCGGUAAAAGUGCGGGGCUCAACCCCGCCGAGCCGUCGGAACCGGGGGCAGUGAGUACCGGAGAAGUACGCGGAAUGCGUGGUGUAGCGGUGAAAGGCAUAGAUAGCACGCAGAACCCCGAUUGCGAAGGCAGCGUACCGGCCGGUCACUGACGCUGAGGCACGAAAGCGCGGGUAUCGAACAGGAGUAGAUACCCCGGUAGUC